CUAUAUACCCUAACCAAGUUCUUUCCGCGUUCUUCAGCUCUCUUCACUCUCUCACUCUUUCUUUUCACGCUCUCUCUCUCUCUCUCUCUCUCUCUCCCCUGCUCCCUCGACACUCCUCUCCCGGCGCUCUCCCUCUCGGAUCUGCAUUGCACACCAAAUGUCUUUUGAUCCCUGCAAGAAAGAUACAUCUUUUCUGCUGUGUGAUUUUGGAUUUAUGAGCCGGGGGAGGCUGUGGUGUUCGCGCAGUUUCUUAUUUCGACAUUGGACUUGACAGCUUUGUCUGUUGAGUUAGUUCCCUCUAGUUUGUUAUUUAGAAUUUGCAAAUAGGCUAUUUGAUUUUAUUUUUCUUUUUUGGGGUAAUCAAUUUGUUACCUCCGAGUUAAGAAAUUAAGUACAAGAUCUUCACAACUUGUGAGCAAUUAUUGAAAGUUAUUGUAUAGUGAAACUCCCUUAUGAAUUUCUCUAUGGGGAAAGCAUCACUGCCUCCGGGAUUUCGAUUUCAUCCCACAGACAUUGAAUUGGUAAAGUAUUAUCUGAAGAGGAAGGUAAUGGGUAGGAAAUUCCGUAUUGAUGCUAUUGCAGAGGUUGACAUAUACAAGUACGCUCCUUGGGAUCUUCCAGCAAAAUCUACUUUGAGAAGUGGGGACUUGAAAUGGUAUUUCUUUUGCCCGCGAGAAAAGAAAUAUGCUAAUGGGGCUAGAAUGAAUCGCGCUACUGACUUUGGGUAUUGGAAGACCACAGGAAAGGAUAGGCCUGUUCACUACAAUAAUGAAGCUGUGGGGAUGAUAAAGACUCUGGUUUUCCACCGAGGUAAAGCUCCAAAAGGUGACCGAACUGAUUGGGUUAUGCAUGAGUAUAGAAUUGGGGAGAAGGAUCUGGCUAACAGAGGUGUUGUUCAGGAUGCUUAUGUGCUCUGUAUAGUUUUCCAGAAGGAAGGCCCUGGCCCAAGAAAUGGUGCUCAAUAUGGAGCACCAUUUAAAGAGGAAGAGUGGGAUGACGAUGAGGAUGAGGAUGUUGAAUGUAUGGAAGUAGUGUCUUCUGCUGUCCAUUCCAUUCCCGUACAUAACCAAAUCAGUCCACUUGCUGCUAGCUUGCCAUGUGUUUCGGAUGUUAUCCUACCUGUUAACAAUAUGCAUUCACCAACUCCAGAAAAUAAUGUUGUAUCUAGUGAGGUUGCUCCUGUUUCACAUGAGGAUGACAUUGACUCAAUGUUAGCUUACUUCACAGAAGAUAGCACUUUGGUUCCAAAUGAAAAUGGUCAAAUUGAGAAUCUUGGUCACCAGCAUAAUGAAAAUGUUGAAGCUUUACCCCAUUCGGAUGGGAAUGAUAUCUACAAUAACUUGGGAGAUUUGGUCAACUUUGGUAGACUUAGUGAAGGUGCAGGUGAUUUCUCCUUCAGUUACAAUGAUUACUGUUACCCAAAUCAAAGUUUCCUGGGUGAUAAUACUCCAUUUCUGGAGUUGGAUGAUCUUGAUGCCCCAUUGAAUGGCCCUGUUGAAGCUGGGACAUCUGAACUCAUCCACACUGAUGGACUGUCCUCUAACCAGCACUGUUAUAAUCCCGCACAAUUAUCCCUCAAAGAAAAUCUUGGAUUAAUUCAGUGUCCUUCCAUCCACCAUUACAAUGCCGAGCAAUCAUCCCUCACAGUAAAUCCAGGGUUAAGUCAGCGUCCGCCCAUGCACUGUCACAAUGCUGAGCAAUCAUCCCUCGCUGUAAAUCCUGGGUUAAGUCAGUGUCCUUCCAUGGACUGUUACAAUGCUGAGCAAUCAUCCCUCACUGUAAAUCCUGGGUUAAGUCAGUGUCCUUCCAUGCACUGUUACAAUGCUAAGCAAUCAUCCCUCUCAGUAAAUCCUGGGUUAAGUCAGUGUCCUUCCAUGCACUAUUACAAUGCCGAGCAAUCAUCCCUCACGGUAAAUCCUCAGUCAAGUCAGUUUCCUUCCGUGCUGCCAGAGCAGUACAGGUUUGAGGACCAAUGGGCUGCAUUUCCGAAGAGCUAACAAGAGGUGGAUCAUAUUUUACUUGGGGAAAAUUUCUGAUUGUCAGAACAGAUGUCAUUGAUGGAUUCCAUCAAACAAGACACGGGGAGAACAAUGUAGGAUUCCCUAAGCAUGUCUGUCUUGCUUCAGCUGCAAAGUGCCUGGCUCCUCUUCAUGGAGCAAAAGAUCUAAAUGCUCUGUUGUGUGCUUAUGGUCCUCCUCCAUUGUUGUCAAGGCCGAGGUGACUUGUUGGAGUUGGUUGUGGGUGCACUAACGACGCUUUGUCACAUAAGUUGGAGGGUUUCCCAUAUGCUAUAGAUACAACCUACUCAAGAGGUAGCUGGGAAUGGGAUCAGCUAUUUGCAGCAACAUGUGAAGCCUUGCCUCCCUUCGAAUUUCUGCUCUAUUUCAUAGUAAUCUUGAUAGAAUUUGUAAAAUUAAAUUGAAUAAGAAUCAUGGACUCAGUAUUACUUAAAAAGACUAGGAUUCACAUCUUUAUCUGGAUUGAAGGAUACCCAACGGUGGUAGUCAUUCUAUCAUAUGUGACUAAACCACCUGUUGUGGCAUCUUAAUAAGAUAUACCAAGCAUGAUAAAUUAGGAAACAAAUAAUUUUAUCCCACUAUUUAAAGAAG